rnacentral:rRNA from 1 species
UACGUAGGGUGCGAGCGUUGUCCGGAAUUACUGGGCGUAAAGAGCUCGUAGGCGGUUUGUCGCGUCGUCCGUGAAAACUUGGGGCUCAACCCCAAGCUUGCGGGCGAUACGGGCAGACUUGAGUACUGCAGGGGAGACUGGAAUUCCUGGUGUAGCGGUGAAAUGCGCAGAUAUCAGGAGGAACACCGGUGGCGAAGGCGGGUCUCUGGGCAGUAACUGACGCUGAGGAGCGAAAGUGUGGGGAGCGAACAGG